GAUGAAGAACGUAGCGAAAUGCGAUACGUAGUGUGAAUUGCAGAAUUCAGUGAAUCAUCGAAUCUUUGAACGCAUAUUGCGCUCUCUGGUAUUCCGGAGAGCAUGCUUGUUUGAGUAUCAGUAAACACCUCAACUUCCAUAUCUUUUUUGAAAUGGGAGUUGGACUUGAGUGAUCCCAACGCUUUUCCUCACCGAAAAGUGGCGGGUUACUUGAAAUGCAGGUGCAGCUGGACUUUUCUCUGAGCUAUAAGCAUAUCUAUUUAGUCUGCCUAAAAAACAGAUUAUUACCUUUGCUGCAGCUAACAUAAAGGAGAUUAGUUCUUGUGCUGACUGAUGCAGGAUUCACAAAGACAGGCUUCGGCCGACUUUGUAAACUCGAUCUCAAAUCAAGUAAGACUACCCGCUGAACUUAAGCAUAUCAAUAAGCGGAGGA
rnacentral:misc_RNA from 1 species